ensembl:lncRNA
AUCAGGUCGACUUUAUGAGAUGUUCCACAUUUUAAAAAAAAAGUGUUGACAGGAGGUAGUUGCUAUCUUUGGUUAUCUAGCUGUAUGAGUGUUUAUCUGCCUUCAUAAAGCUAGAUAACCGAAAGUAGAAACGUCCUCCUUAACUGCAUAGUGGACAAGUUGGGAAGCAAUGAUGGCAGGGAACUGCGUGAGGCUUCUCAAACUGCAGUGUCUUUGUGAUAGACCAGAGGACUGGCACUAAGGGGGAAAACGGCAUCUGCUCCCCUCCCUUCUUCAUCAACGGAAGCAUUUAGUGCCAUCUGUGCCCCAGGAGAAAAGAGGAAAAAAAGGAAGGAGUGAGACUCUACAUCCCAAGUGCCAAUGGGGACAAAGAGGCUGCCAGUUGCCACGGACCACCAGAUGCUGGAAGACUGCAAGUCUGAAUGAGGGGUGUGCUUUCAGGAAGCCAUCUUGAUGGAGAAGCUGGCUGCUGCUCCCUAAAAUGGCUGUGUUGGCAUGAGGCUCCUGGCAAUAAAACGCUGAAAAAUUCCCAUCGUUGUCAUCAGCUGCUGGAGAAACCAAGGCCAUCCUGCUAUGUUUGAGUCAAAUGGUCAAUCACAUCACCUCAGGAAUCCAGUGUGCAGCAUCUCUUCCGGAUGGUUCGCUGUGAAAAUUUAACAAGCAGAUGAGAGAUGAAUUAGAAUGUGCACUAAUUGAUUUAACUGGGUAUCUUAAAACCUUGCAGACAAUCAGUAAGACUGGAUGGGUGUGUGGAUUUGGGCUGUUCACCCAGUUAAAUCUUAGAUGUUAGAAAAUGUGUUUUACAAUCUUAUCAGUGCUGUAUAAACUGAAGAGAAUAAUGUGCCUUAAUGUGUGAAAAGUUUACAGUGAAAGUAGUUGUUAUUGAAACAUUUCAGUGCAUGGGAAUUUGCGAUCCCUAUUUUAAAUACUAGUAUUUUUAAUGUUAGUCAUCAUUGUUUCAUGUUAUUAUAUUAUAAAAUGUGCCUGUUUCAGUUGAUGUACAGGAAGGAAAUUGGUUAAUCCAGAUAUUUUGUAUGGCUGUAUGUAUGGUUUAAGAAUUAUGCUCAGUUUCUCUCUGCAUUAUCAUUUGUCUGAUUAUGUGAUAUGUGAAAAACGUAUUGAACUGCACAAAUAAACAACAUUAAAGCACUGACAGAAUGAUUGUUGACACUGAAAGCCAUUUUAAAUUAUACUCUGUAUAGAAAUGUACUUUAAUGGGAGGUGGACGUCAACACAGCUUCACAUGUAGUGGCCACAGGCUAUUUUGUAACCACCUACUUCAAGACAGCUUGACAGCUCAUAGUUCUAGUGCUCCUGUCAGCACCUUGGACAGCAC